AUUGGACGCUGGCGGUAUGCUUAACACAUGCAAGUCGAACGGCAGCAUGGUCUAGCUUGCUAGACUGAUGGCGAGUGGCGGACGGGUGAGUAACGCGUAGGGAUAUGCCUUGAAGAGUGGGACAACUUGGGGAAACUCAAGCUAAUACCGCAUGUACUCGAGAGAGUAAAGCUGGGGACCUUUAGGCCUGGCGCUUUAAGAUAGCCUGCGUCCGAUUAGCUAGUUGGUAGGGUAAAGGCCUACCAAGGCGACGAUCGGUAGCUGGUCUGAGAGGAUGAUCAGCCACACUGGAACGGAGAGACGGUCCAGACUCCUACGGGAGGCAGCAGUGGGGAAUAUUGGACAAUGGGGGGAACCCUGAUCCAGCAAUGCCGCGUGUGUGAAGAAGGCCUGAGGGUUGUAAAGCACUUUCAGUGGGGAGGAGGUUUGGAAGGUUAAGAGCUAUUCAAAUGGACGUUACCCACAGAAGAAGCACCGGCUAACUCCGUGCCAGCCGCCGCCGUAA
rnacentral:rRNA from 1 species